GAUGAACGCUGGCGGCGUGCCUAAUACAUGCAAGUCGAGCGAAUGGAUUAAGAGCUUGCUCUUAUGAAGUUAGCGGCGGACGGGUGAGUAACACGUGGGUAACCUGCCCAUAAGACUGGGAUAACUCCGGGAAACCGGGGCUAAUACCGGAUAACAUUUUGAACCGCAUGGUUCGAAAUUGAAAGGCGGCUUCGGCUGUCACUUAUGGAUGGACCCGCGUCGCAUUAGCUAGUUGGUGAGGUAACGGCUCACCAAGGCAACGAUGCGUAGCCGACCUGAGAGGGUGAUCGGCCACACUGGGACUGAGACACGGCCCAGACUCCUACAGGAGGCAGCAGUAGGGAAUCUUCCGCAAUGGACGAAAGUCUGACUGAGCAACGCCGCGUGAGUGGUGAAGGCUUUCGGGUCGUAAAACUCUGUUGUUAGGGAAGAACAAGUGCUAGUUGAAUAAGCUGGCACCUUGACGGUACCUAACCAGAAAGCCACGGCUAACUACGUGCCAGCAGCCGCAGUAA
rnacentral:rRNA from 1 species